UUAAAUAUAAUAGGGUAUGGUACAAUAAUGGAAACUUAUAUAUAUAUUUUUACUACUUCCGUCCCAGAAUAAAAGUCUUGGUAGACUUUUCACGCAUAUUAAGAAUAAGAAUAAAAUAACAAAAUUGCCCAUAAUAAUAUCAUUAAAUAUGAAGAGAGAAUUAGAAUAAGAAAAGUAUGAGAUAUUUAAUGUUACGGGCAUAUUAGAAAAAAUUGUGUAAAAGUUUAGUUAUUAAAAGAAAGAGGACAUUUAACAUGGGACAAUCCAAAAUAAUAAUAAGGACUUUUAUCUUGGGACGGAG
rnacentral:lncRNA from 1 species